rnacentral:rRNA from 1 species
UACGUAGGGUGCAAGCGUUAAUCGGAAUUACUGGGCGUAAAGCGUGCGCAGGCGGAUCGGUAAGUCUGACGUGAAAUCCCCGGGCUCAACCUGGGAAUUGCGUUGGAGACUGCAGGGCUAGAAUCUGGCAGAGGGGUGUAGAAUUCCACGUGUAGCAGUGAAAUGCGUAGAGAUGUGGAGGAACACCGAUGGCGAAGGCAGCGCCCUGGGUCAUGACUGACGCUCAUGCACGAAAGCGUGGGGAGCAAACAGG